rnacentral:rRNA from 1 species
UACGAAGGGGGCUAGCGUUGUUCGGAAUUACUGGGCGUAAAGGGCUCGUAGGUGGCCAACUAAGUCAGACGUGAAAUCCCUCGGCUUAACCGAGGAACUGCGUCUGAUACUGGAUGGCUUGAGUUUGGGAGAGGGAUGCGGAAUUCCAGGUGUAGCGGUGAAAUGCGUAGAUAUCUGGAGGAACACCGGUGGCGAAGGCGGCAUCCUGGACCAAUACUGACGCUGAACAGCGAAAGCCAGGGGAGCAAACGGG